rnacentral:misc_RNA from 1 species
GAUGAAGAACGUAGCGAAAUGCGAUAAGUAAUGUGAAUUGCAGAAUUCAGUGAAUCAUCGAAUCUUUGAACGCACAUUGCGCCCCCUGGUAUUCCGGGGGGCAUGCCUGUCCGAGCGUCAUUACAACCCUCAAGCUCAGCUUGGUGUUGGGCCCCGCCGCCCCGGCGGGCCCUAAAGUCAGUGGCGGUGCCGUCCGGCUCCGAGCGUAGUAAUUCUUCUCGCUCUGGAGGUCCGGUCGUGUGCUCGCCAGCAACCCCCAAUUUUUUUCAGGUUGACCUCGGAUCGGGUAGGGAUACCCGCUGAACUUAAGCAUAUCAAUAAGCGGAGGA